rnacentral:ncRNA from 1 species
AUUAGCUAGUUGGUGAGGCAAUAGCUUACCAAGGCGAUGAUCAGUAGCUGGUCCGAGAGGAUGAUCAGCCACACUGGGACUGAGACACGGCCCAGACUCCUACGGGAGGCAGCAGUGGGGAAUUUUCCGCAUGGGGCGAAAGCCUGACGGAGCAAUGCCGCGUGGAGGUGGAAGGCCUACGGGUCGUCAACUUCUUUUCUCGGAGAAGAAACAAUGACGGUAUCUGAGGAAUAAGCAUCGGCUAACUCUGUGCCAGCAGCCGCGGUAAGACAG